AAUGAAUACCUAUAAUUACUUUUUUUAUUGAGAUUAUUACAAACAAGCGAUGAAACUACCAAAUAAAGUUAGUAUAGUAGAGGUAUAGAAUCGAGAGCUCGCGCGAUAAGUCGACAUGCCCCACCCAAAUUUAAAAACAUGUGUCAUCGUUGAAAAAUUUAAUUAAAAGAAAUGAUGAUAUAAAAACAUAUCUGCUGCAACAUGUCCAGACUACAUAACCUAACUUAACAAUGCAACCCAGCUUGAGGGAUUUUUCCCGCCAGAUAGAGGGGAAAUAAUUGAAAAAUUGCAAUAUAGAAAAAUGCAAUUCUAUUGUUACCAAUGGUAUUGCUCAGAGAUUUAUUUAAAUUCAGUAUUUGAUAAAUGAAAAAAUAGAAUUAACAAUAGAUUGUGUAUACUUAUACACAUUAGUACACACAGGAAACGAAAAAAGGUCGACGCCCCGUUGUAAAAAUGCUUUGAACUUAGUUUUAUAUUAUAUUAUAUCUCAUCGUUUGUGUACUUAUGUGUGUGUUCAUAGCAAACCGCAGAUAUAUCUGCCAAAGGGUUGAAAACUAGAAGAAAACGAGGCUGUGCUGAGAGAGUUUGUAGAAGAGAACCAGACGAAGAAGAUGAUUAGGAUGAGGAUGAAGAUGAGUAAGGAGCCAAGUUCCCAUCGGAGAUAGAACAGAGAGUAAAUGCAAGAAACGAGGAAAAAAAGGAAAGAGUCGCGGUGACUUAAUACGGGAGGACAUAACAUUUAGAAGGUUAUUGUUAUGGUAAUGAGGAUAGCGCCCUGGUCUAACGACCCCCUAUGGAUACUACACUACACCCUUCAUGUGACCUUUCUGUCUCUUUCAGUCUUUCAUAACAGACUGGAAGAGGUGGUGAACGAGACAAGAAACCAAAAAAAAAAACAUACAAAACAGAAGUGAAGAAUUUUCUCAGCAGACGAGUUCUUGAUGUCCUGCACGAAGGAGAAAUGACGUGGACGUGCGAGAGCGGUCAAGUGACGCAAGGAUAAAAAAAAUAAAAAGAUGAGACGAGUUGCUGGGGGUCUAUCCAGCUUCGCUAAUGCUCCUGUUUAUUAUUCCAUGGUUGCCUACAACCCACUGUAUCCUGAGAAAAGUCCUGAGAGUAUUUUAUUAUAAAUGUAUGGGUGUCUCGUAUCUAUACAUAUUAUAUGUAAUGUGAGUAUGUGAGUACGUGUAACGUUAUGUACUGUCUCUUAGCUUCUGUAUCUUUUCUAUAUUCUAUAUCAUCAGGGGUUGUGAUAUAUUUACGUGGGAAACAAGUGCAGAUGGCACACAGCUCUUGGGGGGUGGGCAGACAUUAAGAUAUUAUUCUUGUGCAUUUGCUCAAAUAUAAUCGGAUUUUUCUUGGGCUUUUGUUGGAUUUAUUUUUACAGUACUAUCUCUCAAAUUCAAGCUUUACAUUUUUUUUCAUUUAAUUUAAAAUUUAUUUUAAUUAAACGUAAAGAUUCUCACGUAUGAGAAUUCAUCUUUUGCUGUACUUUUGUAUACUUGGACCAUUUAUAUCAUUUCUGCUUUUAUCAAUUGGACAUACUCUUCAAGUAUAUCCAAUUGAAUUUGAUUUAAUAAUAAAAUAGAAUUACGGUUAAUAUAGUAUGAUAUAAAUUUACAAAAAAUAAAAAAAAAAACGUUUAAGUAUAUAUAUAUUUUGUAAUGAAUAGUUGGGUUGAUCGUUGAUAGUCUUAUGAAUAGAAGUAUAUGUGUUAUAUUUUAUAAAGAUAUUUUCUUGAUGUCGAUGGCCUCUCAAAGAGAUUAACGGCGCCUCUGUAAUCUACUGUCAGUUCGUACAAAUGUGGGUAAUCAACUUACAACAUUUUUUUUCUCCUUUUUUCAUUUAUUUUCUAAAUAGACAUACUCUAGUUGUCUGUAAUUCAUAUUCGAGCUAAUUUUAAUUAGUCCUUUCUUUAUUCGUGUUUAAUUCAAAAUAAUGGUCAAUGAAUAGAAAAAAUAAAAAUAAAAGUUAUUGCUAAUUUAUUUUCAGGAAAAAAAAAAUAGAAUUGUAAAACAAAAGAACAUAUUGUAUUUGCAAAAAUAUAUUCCCAUGAUUUUGCACACGGCCAUUUAUUUGUAUAAGUGUAUGUCAGACGGAGGGAGUUAUUUUUUGAGAGUAAUGUGUAGGGGAGAGAAGCAGAAAGAUAAAGAGAGUAAAGAGUACAUACGCGUAACACGAAACGCAGUGCGUUGCAUCGCGUAUAAAAUUCAGACGAGUUUUUUUGAGGAUACGGGGGACAGCUGUACUCCGCGUUUCUUUAUCAUGUAGAGGUUGUACAGCAGCUCCCCGCUCCAGGGACUUAACCCUCCUACCGCCGGAAGCGCGUUGGAUCUUUUAAAUUCUUUAUGUGUAUGCCCUCUUAACUGACACCUGUUGCCAAUUCUUUUGCGAUUUUGUGCAACCAUGAUUUCCCAAAGGCUUUCUUUUGGUUAAAAAUUAAAUCCUCAAAAUAAAUCUAAAAUUAUUCUCAACCAAAUCAAUUGCGGUUAAUUUUUAUUUUAAAAAUAAAAAUCCAAGUGAUUGGUUUGCUGCAUGAAAUUAUAAAAAAUAUAAAAGUUUAACUGAUGCACAUCUGUAAGCUCGUAGUAACCCAGUUCUUCUAUCGAAUAACUUGUAACCUGUAUGAUCAAACGAUUUAGUAGGACAAAAGAGAUUCAACCGAAUGAUCGAGCAGAGCUUUGACCAUACCCAGAAAAAGUAAAAAGUUUGCAAAAGGACGCGGAUGAACAACGGACGAGAGAGAAAUAACAAGAGAAGAAAAAAAAGAAUGAGAUGAAAUGAAGCAGCAGUGGAAGAGUGCAUCGAACAGCCUCAAGCUGGGGGCCGUUUGAAUUUAAGCCUCCCACGACAAUGCACUUGGUUUUGGUGUGCAAAAAAAAUAAAAGUGCAUUGUGCCGAGAGUGUACGCUUCGCCCGUUUCAACAAAGUGAGCGUGCGAAUAAUCUAAUCUAGAUUUGUAUAGGCUCCAGCAAAAUAAAAAUCAAAAAUAGAAGAUGAAAAAAACAAUUGAAACAACAUAAGCAAAGGAUUUAGCCAAAAAACGCAUCGUAGCGAAGGAGUUGUUCGAUCAGCGAUAAUAAUCAUGAGGAAAGCAGAAAAGAUGAGAACAGGUUUCUGCAAUCGUCUUCGCGCCACCGUCGUCGUCGCCGUAGUCUUCACUUGGUCAUCAUCAUCAUCAUCAUCACAAAUACUACUACUACUAUCGGUACUUCUACCCUUUCUCUCCUCUCUUCUUCUUCCUCCUUAUACUCAAUGCAUACGUAUGUGCUCUUUUUCUCCUUCUUUGCCUCCUCAAUUCUUCCUUUUCUCUUCUCUCCACUCCCUGGGACUUUACCCCUCUCGGUGUGUUAGCUGCAUCUGUCCUUGUUCUUUGGCUUGUCCCUUACCUCGCUCUCAUUUCGCGAGGUAAGGGACGCGGGUGCACACACUCGGCCAGACGAGACUCACGGCCAGAGCCAGGGCCGUAUCGCUUCGCCUGUGUCCUUAUAUUAAAUAUUGGCAAAGCAGAUGCGCCGGCUGUAACUACUUACGGCUUCUCUUACUUUCUACACAAUAUACAUUAUACCUACUAUAUAAACAUGUAUGCCGUACAUACUGGUGUAUUGAUGUAUGGUACACGUACAGUUAGUACUUUACUUCUCGAGCUCGAGCUUUUACUUAAGACUGUCUAUCAAUCGGCUUUUCUUCUUAACAGCCCAUCAAUGCAUACCUGGAUAUAUAUGUAUAUUGAGAUGUAUUGGAGCAUGUAUACCUUUACAAGCCUGUCUGCUUGCCCUAGAUCAUAUUAACACCCUACACACGUUGUUUUAUGGUGUACGUUUACCGGCUGGCACGAAAUACGGAUUUCCGUAAUAUGUGUAAACCGUAAACCUGAUUCUACAUUAUUGCUGCUAUUAUAAAUAUAAAAAUAAUUAUUAUUAUGAUUAUUAUUUGUAGGUACCGAAAUAAGAGAACGGUGGUGAUGUGAUUUAGCUUGUACGAACCCCGCUGAGAUGAGAAGCGGAUGCGUGCGUCUAGAACAAUGUAAUGAAAUAAAAAUGAAGAGAGAAUGAACUAACCGGCUAUGUACAUAUACCAUACAACUAAAUCUAUGACGACGACUACGAGUACGACGUUUAAGACGUCGACAACACGCGGAUAAGUUAGACUAUGAGCACACGGUUCUUUUAUUCUCGAGGUCAGGCGUCUGCGAAUUGUACACACGUCUAUGAGGCAACGAAAACGAAAACGAUUAAAAAAUAAAACUUAAAUAAAAAUAAGAGAAGUAAGAAAGAAGAUAAAAAAAGAAAAUAAAAAAAAAAAAAAAGAAAGAAAAGAGUAGACCGUCUCUGAAAUUCUUCGGAUCAUUCUUAUUUUUUUUCACGGCCAAGUCUUUAUUAAUUUAACAUCCUCUCUCAUCUCAUCUUGAUCUUGGAUUUUAAAUAUUUGUUUAGUUUUUCGUUUUCGUAAAUACUUAUUUAUAGCAAAUCAGUAUGUGAAUUUGAAUUAUUAAGUUAUAAACAUGUGUAAAUUUAAAAAUUUCAGUACGCUGGGACCACUGAAGUAGGCAGAGUGUCUGUUUAUAAAAUUUUUGCGAAAAGGAUAGUUUUAAUGUUUAAAUGAUUUUUAUUUGUUUGAAAAUUGUAAUAAAGAAAUUUUAGGUAAAGUUUAACAUGCUGUUAGGUACUGAAAAUUACUGGAAGGGAAAGGAGGUUGGUCUUAAUGAAUUUUUCGCGAUACAAAGGUGCGAAUAAGAAAUUGGCACGGCCCUGGUAAAGGCGGGGCUCGUCGUAUAUACCGCGAAAGAGAACCAGCGGUUGAAUCGGAUUGGAUUGGGGCGCAACUCCUUGCCUCGCCGUGGCAGCCCAAGCGGGCAAACUGGUUUCGUUUCGCGGGGGCUUGCAUCGUUGCACCGCUCUCUCGGCGACAGUCCAAUUUAUGCAUCACACGGCUAUGUAGGCACCACACGAGAGAGCAGGAUUAUUACCCAAAAAACACCACUGCUGUGCCCUGGACUUUGUGCCACACUUAUAUAUUAUAUACAUAUACGUAUAUAUAUAUAUAUAUAUAUAUAUAUAUAUGUUAACUCACUGCAAUAUAUAUUAACAAUCAAGUACGUUUUCAAAGUGCCUGUAUUUAUAAUAUUAUUUAUCAUCAUCAUCAUCUUCAUUUGGACAAACUACACACUUGGAAGAGGAUUUUUAAAAUCACCAUAUCUUCGGAAGUUUAUCAUCAACGUUAUUGUUCACCAAAAACUCUGAAAGAAAAAAAUAAAUUUAAACGUUUGUUUUUUUUUUUUAAAUAAAAUUUUUGUUUGUUAAAAUUAAAAGCUUCGACGUGCCAGUGAAAUUACUCAGCAUCGACUGGAUUUUUAUCAACUUACUCAGUGUUUUUUUUUUGUUGUUAAUUUUUAUUAUAAUUUUUGGUGACUCGUGACGUAAAAAAGUUAUCGGGACAAAAGUUUUGAGGACAGGAGAAGCUCAAGUUAUUAAUAUUAUCUCAAGUGUUCUGUUUUACGUUUUUAUUUUUCAAAAAUUAUCAAUUAAAAUACUGUGGCUCGUCGAACGUGUUAAUAUGUACCGCACACAGCGGACAAUACUUGAAAUUUCGUGACUAUCAUCAACGUGCAUCGCAGUGUGUUGAUUUGGGUGCUCUGCUCCGCCAAAAAUCAAAUAGAAAAAUAUUUUAAAAAACUGGAAGAAAUUUUUUUAUCAAUUUUAAAAUAAAUUCAUAAAAAAAAAAACAAAUUAUAAUCAAUCAGGUAUAUUUAAUUACUAAAUACUUUCACUUGUGUGAUACAAAGUGCAUACAUACACUUAUAAUCACACACUUAAUCAUACAUUUGUAUUUGUAUUUGUACAUAUACGUUAAAUGCACUGAUACUUACUCACAUACAUAUUUACAUGCAUACAUACAUACAUACAUAUAUAUAUUUUAUUUGCGCGCGCAAAUUCUUCGCCAUUAAUUUUAGAAGCGGCGAGACCCGUCUGGUAAAUUCGUUUAUCCUUAUCGUCGAGUAGUCACGUCUCUCUCAAUCUUAUGCUCUGGCUCUCUCUUACUGUCGGUUCCUCCCGACGUCUGCAAUUUUCGCAAGGUUAUGUGCAAAUACGUCCGGUCAGCGACACGACGGCGAACGAGCGAGGGAGCCAGCGAAUGUAAGAGCGAGUGAGUAAGUAACUGAGUAAUCGUUCGUUUCUCGUUGUUGUUCUCUCGCUCGCCGUCUGGCCGCAAGUCCUUCUCUACUUCCAGACUCUCUUGUUUAUCGACGCACUCUCUAAACUUAUAUUCGUAUUCGCUAUUCGCGAAUACAAGUACAUAGUAGUAGUGUAUAUACUUUUAAAUACGGCAACGACUGACUACGACAACAACUACUACUAGCUCCACUUGGCUUAUCAUUACAGCCACUACUACAAGUACUUUAAGCCAGACUACCACACUACAUGCUUGCUCGCCUUGCAAUUCUCAACAAUCCAUACCAUAACUACUUUCACUUUCUAAGAAUUCCACCUUAUGCUAUUUUUGCUUCAUUUACUCGCAAAUAUUCUCGUUAAAAAUUCACAUUAAAUUCUAAAAAAAAAAAAUUUACGAUUAAAUAAAUUAUUUUCAAUUGCUAUAAAUGUCUGAUAGUUUCUGCUAAAGUAUUCCGAGAAGAAUAUACCUAAAUUCACCGUAGAGUACAAAACUACUCUCUGACUACUGGUAAUUACUUUUUUUUUUAUUAUUAUUUUUGCUCCAAUCGAAUUUUAAUGGUGGUUUUAAAAAAUUUUAGCCGACUAUUGUGGGAAAGAAUGAUUUCUGGAGUAAAGAAGAAAUGAAAAAAAAACAAAAAAAAAUGUAGCAUUGAAGCUAAAAAUUAGUAAAAAUGUAUAAAAAGAUUCUUUGUAAAGUAGCAUUGCUCGUUCUCACGCGGUUAUCAGUGUACAGCGUGGUAAUUCCACUGAACACAAACAUUGACGAUACAUACAUACAUUACAUACAUUGAAAAGACUCGCCAAGAGCGAACGA
rnacentral:lncRNA from 1 species